GCGCUUGGUUUGUUUUCGGGUUGACCCAUGUACCCGAGGGCUUUUUUUCCCCGAUUCUAAAGUCGGACCCCUCCAGAAAAGAAAUGGAGGAGGCGAUGAAGAAAGUGAGGGAAGCGCAUUCGCUGUUUUGGGCCCCCAUCGACCCAGGGGAGCCCCCCUUCCUUUUUGGGGGGGGGGGGGGGGGGUCUGGGCCUGGCCUUAGAUUGUGGAGCAGAGACCUGGGGAGGCGCUCGGCUCGGCCGGGGCCUGGGCCGCUCGAAGCAGCGGGGCCUUCACGGUCUUCUCUUGGACUCCUUAAUUGAGUGAUAAAAUGAAGCCCCAGAAAAUCCCGUCUAACCUCAGAGUUCUCCCCUCUGAGCGUGAUCUCAAAAACAGUUUUAAGGUCUCCCAUAGUAGAUGCCUUAUUGGGUCCAGUGAAGAUUCUGCCCCCCAGAAGCGAUAGUGAAAGAGUGGAGUUGAAGGGAAGCCAGGGAACACCUCCAGGCCCGGCACAGAGAUCCGCUCGGUUCUGAGGAGCUGAGCCAGGUCGGGGGCUUGAGGGCCAGUGGCGGGACUCUCCUGGGCGACCCACAAGAGAAAUCGAGCCUGUUUCCUCAGAACGUUUGCUACGAGAAUUAGUCUUGGAGAGGGGAUGGAGGCUUGGGAUAAGGACAGGCGGUCGUGCCUCCGGGGGGACGCCACAAACCUGAUGGCCGCUCAUUGCAGAUAAGAAGGAAGAAAAACGGAGGCAUUCCCGAUCCCGGUCGCGCUCCCGGAGGAGGAGGACGCCUUCAUCUUCCAGGCACAGACGGUCGAGAAGCCGAUCCAGAAGAAGAUCUCAUUUCCAAAUCGAGAAGUAGGCGACGAUCGAAGAGUCCGCGCGGGAGGAGGUCCCAUUCCCGCGAGCGGGGCCGGCGGUCCCGGAGCACGUCCAAGACCAGAGACAAAAAGAAAGAAGAGAAAGAGAAGAAGCGUUCGAAAACGCCACCCAAAAGCUACAGCACCGCCCGCCGGUCACGGAGCACCAGCCGGUGAGUGGCUCGACGUUGAUCCGGGGCUGGCGAGCGCCGCCCGCCUCCCCGAGGUGGGAGCACCACCAGGGCAGCCCCAAAGGGCAGCGGGGCCUCCUCCAAGAUGCUGCUGCGGAGCUCCUGCUGGUCCUGAAAACCAACCCAAGUGGGGCAGCCUUCGGCAGCCCAUCCCCCAUCCCCAUCAGACUGUUCCUGCAUCACAUGACCUCCGACUCCUCAGCUGCUUUUAUUUAAGCCAAGGGCUGUGAAUCGAGCUGGGGGGGGGGGGGGGCGGCUUUUAAUUUUGGGCAACCAAAUUUCCUCCUCCCCAAGGGAACCCCCGCCCCAACUGGGGGGGGCUGGGGGGGCUCCAGCCCUUGGCACAGGGAGGACCUGGAGGAACAUCGGGUCCACCCCCCACCUUUUUCCUUUCAAGGAAAAACCCCCCCCGAGGAAUUCCAACGGCCCCCCCUCCCCCAAAAAACCCCCCUCCCCCAAAAAAAAACUGUCCCCCUCCCCCCCUCCCCCGAAGUAAAUUCCCCCGCCGGGCGGGGGGGGGGGAAAUGGGGGGCGGGGGGGCCUCUUAACCUCGGGCCUCCCCGUGUCUUCGGCCCCUAAAAUGGUAAAAAAAAGAGAAGGGCCAGGGGC
ensembl:lncRNA